GCAUAUUGAAUCUGAGGUUUUGCCUGAAAAUCAAUAAAUACAAGUACUUGUUAUUUUUUUGAUCAAGAUUUAAUUUUUUUAACCAUCAUUUUCCCCUUAUUUGAUAGUAUAACAUAAAAGCAGUAUUUAGUUUGAGAGAUUUGAAAGAAUCCAUAAAUUUCAAAAGAUAUUAACUAUUAUAGAUGAGUGUCAUACCCAAGUAACAAUAUCAGUGCCGU
rnacentral:misc_RNA from 1 species